rnacentral:rRNA from 1 species
GAUGAACGCUGGCGGCGUGCCUAAUACAUGCAAGUCGAGCGAACAGACGAGGAGCUUGCUCCUCUGACGUUAGCGGCGGACGGGUGAGUAACACGUGUAUAACCUACCUAUAAGACUGGGAUAACUUCGUGAAACCGUAGCUAAUACCGGAUAAUAUAUUGAACCGCAUGGUUCAAUAGUGAAAGACGGUUUUGCUGUCACUUAUAGAUGGAUCCGCGCCGCAUUAGCUAGUUGGUAAGGUAACGGCUUACCAAGGCAACGAUGCGUAGCGGACCUGAGAGGGUGAGCGGAAACACUGGAACGGAGACACGGUCAAGAGUCCUACGGGAGGCAGCAGAAGGGAAGAUGACGCAAGGGGCGAAAGCAUGACGGAGCAACGCCGAGUGAGUGAUGAAGGUCUUAGGAUCGUAAAACUCUGUUAUUAGGGAAGAAAAAAUGUGUAAGUAAAUAUGCACGUAUUGACGGUAACUAAUCAGAAAGCCACGGCUAACUACGUG